GUCUUUGUGGUGUAGUGGUCAGCACGCUCGACGCGUAACCGAGAGGUCCGUGGUUCGAUUCCCGGCGAAGACG
rnacentral:tRNA from 1 species